AGAGUUUGAUCCUGGCUCAGAAUCAACGCUGGCGGCGCGCUUAACACAUGCAAGUCGCACGAGAAAGGGAGCAAUCCUAAGUAAAGUGGCGCACGGGUGAGUAACACGUGGAUCAUCUACCUUUUAGUGGGGAAUACCUCUGGGAAACCGGAGACAAUACCGCAUAAGCCCGCAAGGGGAAAGCAGCAAUGCGCUGAAAGAGGAGUCCGCGGCCGAUUAGCUAGUUGGCGGGGUAACGGCCCACCAAGGCGAAGAUCGGUAGCCGGCCUGAGAGGGCACACGGCCACACUGGCACUGAAACACGGGCCAGACUCCUACGGGAGGCAGCAGUGGGGAAUCUUGCACAAUGGAGGCAACUCUGAUGCAGCGACGCCGCGUGAGCGAUGAAGCCCUUCGGGGUGUAAAGCUCUUUCGACGGGAACGAUAAUGACGGUACCCGAAGAAGAAGCUGCGGCUAACUACGUGCCAGCAGCCGCGGUAAU
rnacentral:rRNA from 1 species